UAAGCAAGACCUGAAACAGAAGGAAAUAAUUAGCCUGGAGGUAACAAAGUCUUCCUAGAUGCAAAUUUAACAAAGGUUUAAAAACAUCGGCUCUUUUUUGUGUAACUUCACUAGGUUAGCUUUUUUACUCCUCUUUAGUCUUACCACUAAUCUAACUGGCUAAUGGCCUUGAGCAUUAUAUUGAACACACAGAGAGUGUUAUUGAUCUUCCAGUCAAAAUUCUCACGUACAAAACAGAUACUCAAACUACCCAAAAUAUUGAUCUAUCCUUCAAAACUUUGAAUUGAACCUGAAUUUAAAAAGAAAAGUAUUAAAACUUAUCAAUUGUCUUCAUUUUCAGACCUGAGAUCUGUUCCAGCGUUUGCGGAGGCCACCAUGAGUAUUAUUUUUACAUCAACUGGUCCUAUGUAUUUAUCCAUUGCACAAAUCCUAUAUGUGUACAUCCCAUCAUGAAGUAAGAACUUACCUGGGUAAAGGCUUUGUCGGUCCAGAGGAGGAGCCAACCUCUUGUUUGAGUGUCUUCUCAUAGGGAACACUUUUUUCCGAAGUGGGAUCUGAGCUGUAGGAUCGAGUUGUUGCCCGGCACAAGGGAGAGAGAGGAGGCCGAACUGCUGACACCACCCGCCAAACUGCGCUCCCAAGGAAGGCCAUGGCCCCUGUGGUUGCUCCCCUUGAGACACGCAAGAGAGUACUCCUGCCAAAGAGAAAGAUUUACAGAAGAUCAUUUCCCUGCCUGGACAUAUAAUAUUGGGGGCAGCAGUGGUCUAGGGACUUGGACUUUAGACUGAAGAGUCGCCGGUUCACGGUCAAGUCCCGAUCAGAACAAGAAAGACGGAGUGUGGACUGGUACUGGAGAGCAGCCAGAUCACCUCCUGGGCCACUUGAGCAAGGCACCAAACAACCAACUGCUCCCUG